rnacentral:rRNA from 1 species
GAUGUAGGCGGCUUGGCAAGUGUUGUGUGAAAGCCCGCAGCUCAACUGCGGAAUUGCAUGGCAAACUGCCUGGCUUGAGGUCGGUAGAGGUGUCUGGAACUCUAGGUGGAGCGGUGAAAUGCGUAGAUAUCUAGAGGAACGCCGGAGGCGAAAGCGGGACACUGGGCCGAUUCUGACGCUGAGAUCCGAAAGCGUGGGGAGCAAACAGGAUUAGAUACCCUGGUAGUCC